CCUGACCCUAGAAGCAUUGCAGGUGUGGCUGCUGUGUCACAAGUACAUUAGUAGGUGGCAGAAAGGAGAUAGACUAUGUCUAUGCUCAGUGUUCUGACCUUUGAAUAUAUGAAUGAUUAGUAGCUUAACAUU